UAACAAUGAUUUCCCUAGUAACGGCGAGUGAAGAGGAAAGAGCUCAAAGUUGGAAACUGUUUGGCUUAGCUAAACCGUAUUGUAAACUGUAGAAACAUUUUCCUGGCACACCAGAUUAAUAAGUCCUUUGGAACAAGGCAUCAUGGAGGGUGAGAAUCCCGUCUUUGAUCUGAGUAGUUGUCUUUUGUGAUAUGUUUUCAAAGAGUCAGGUUGUUUGGGAAUGCAGCCUAAAUUGGGUGGUAAAUCUCACCUAAAGCUAAAUAUCUGCGAGAGACCGAUAGCGAACAAGUACCGUGAGGGAAAGAUGAAAAGAACUUUGAAAAGAGAGUUAAACAGUAUGUGAAAUUGUUAAAAGGGAACCGUUUGGAGCCAGACUGGUUUGACUGUAAUCAACCUAGAAUUCGUUUUGGGUGCACUUGCAGUCUAUACCUGCCAACAACAGUUUGAUUUGGAGGAAAAAAUUAGUAGGAAUGUGGCCUUUCGAGGUGUUAUAGCCUAUUAUCAUACUCUGGAUUGGACUGAGGAACGCAGCGAAUGCCUUUAGGCGAGAUUGCUGGGUGCUUUCGCUAAUAAAUGUUAGAAUUUCUGCUUCGGGUGGUGCUAAUGUUUAAAGGAGGAACACAUCUAGUAUAUUUUUUAUUCGCUUAGGUUGUUGGCUUAAUGACUCUAAAUGA
rnacentral:rRNA from 1 species